GUUUCCCAUGCUUACUCUUCUCAACAAGAUCAAGUACUACAUCUACAUUGAAAUCCAACAAUAGAUUUAAUGAGUGAUGGAGGUUAAAUAUGAACAUUCAGUCAUCACUUGCUGGGAGGGAAUUAGUAAUUUGUAGGGAAUAGUAUUGACAGCAAGGCGUAAGAUUUAAUUAAAAAAUAGGGGACGAGUAAAGAGAUUAUCCAAAGAGUUUCUUGGACAUCAUUCGUUUUCUCUCAGAGCAAAAUCUGGCACUCCGUGGACAUCGCAAACAAUUUAAAG